rnacentral:rRNA from 1 species
AACGAACGCUGGCGGCGCGCCUAACACAUGCAAGUCGAACGAGAAGGCGUAGCAAUACGCUUGUAGAGUGGCGAACGGGUGAGUAAUACGUGGGUGACCUACCCUCGAGUGGGGAAGUAACCCGCCGAAAGGCGGGCUAAUGCCGCGUACGCUUCCGUCCUCACGGGGACGGAAGGAAAGCUGUACCGUGGGUACGGCGCUCAAGGAUGGGCUCACGUCCUAUCAGCUUGUUGGUAGGGGUAACGGCCACCAAGGCUACGACGGGUAGCUGGUCUGAGAGGACGAUCAGCCACACUGGCACUGCGACACGGGCCAGACUCCUACGGGAGGCAGCAGUGAGGAAUAUUGCGCAAU